UCGUUACGCACUAACAGGUCCCAUGUUCGAUUCCCAGCUAAUAUAUAUUUGUAUUUUUUUCAAUUUUUUUUUAAGGAAAACCGCUGUGCAGUAACAACACACGUUUUUUUCAAUUCCUUUUUAAGAAGAAACUGCCAGAACAUCAAAAGUAUAGGUUUCUGUUUCUCUCUCACCCACAAACCCUAAAUCACAAUCCUCCUCAAUCCUCCUUCCAUAACCACGUACGGCUCUCUCUUAUGUGAUUUUUUGUCUCUCACGGCUCUCUCUCUCUUUCACGGUACUCUCCAGGCCUCUCUCUUUCUCUCACAACAAUCUCCGUGUAUCUCUCUCUUUCAUGCCAAUCUUUUGUUGAUUUUUGUCAAUUAUUUUUGUCUAAGGUGAUUUGAAGUGUAUAUGGUCUUAGUGUUGUGUUUGAAGUGGAAUUUUAGUUUUAAUUUUGGUAUGAGUUUUUUGCAAUUAUUGGUUUUCUUGGAAGCUUUGAUAUAUGUGUGUUUGUGUCUGUGAUAUUUGAGAUUGAUUGCUAGGAAACAAGAGUAAUGGUAUCAUAUUUCUUUGCAAAAUUCGUCUAUUAGAUUAAGGUUUUACCAAAUUUUUGCUAGAUUUUUGAAUAUAACCAUUGCUGGAAAAAUUUCCAGAAGUUCAUAGUGUUCAUCAUUAUCUUCAUAACUUUGCAGUAUUUUGAUCCAAAAAAUGUGUCAUAAAAUUUAUUUUGUUUUUCACAAAAUAAACUAGUUGGAAUUUCUCAUCACCAACGCAAAUAAUCGCCACAAACGCCGCCGGAAUUUCUCAUCACCGACGCAAAUAAUCGCCACAAACUCAUUCAGGUUUUCCCUCUUCUUUCUUAUUUCUCAACAACAUAGCUUUUAUUGCCUUAAAACUGAAACCAACCAGAUUCCUCAAUUUUCACAUUACUAUUAGUAUUUCACGAUUCACUUCAAUGAAACAAAUCAACACUAAAUCUGAUGAAUCUUACAUCACACACAAUUCAUCAUCAGCAGCAGCAUCAGCACCACCAGCUGCAGCAUCAUCUAUAAGUGUGAAAUCCACCCCUGAAAUUGAAAAAAAGUUUGUUCACCAUGUUUAUGAUGCAAUUGCCCCACAUUUUAGUUCGACCCGUUAUGCGAAAUGGCCGAAAGUUGCUGAAUUUCUACAAAAUUUGCAUCCAGGAUCAUUGAUCUUGGAUGCAGGAUGUGGGAAUGGGAAGUAUCUCGGGUUUAAUCAAGAUUGUUUUUUUAUAGGAUGUGAUAUUAGUCCUUCAUUGAUUAAGAUAUGUUUAGAUAGAGGAAAUGAGGUUCUUGUUGCAGAUGCUGUUAAUCUUCCCUAUAGAACUGGUUUUGGUGAUGCUGCUAUAUCUAUUGCUGUGUUGCAUCAUUUGAGUACCGAGAAUAGACGGCGAAAAGCGAUUGAAGAGUUGGUCAGGGUUGUUAAAAAGGGUGGGCUUGUUUUGAUUACUGUUUGGGCUGUUGAGCAAGAGGAUGAAGCGUUGGUUAAGAAAUGGACUCCGCUUGCUGAGAAGUAUGUUGAAGAGUGGCAGGGACCGGGAAGUCCACGUGCUACUCGGGUGUCUUCUUCGUUGUCGUUGGAAAGUAUUCCGGAAAGUGAGGAGAGUGGUUUGGGUGGUGAGGAGAUGAAAGUUUGCGAUAAGUCUGAAAUUUCAGGAGAUUUGAAGGAAGAAAAGAAUGUGAAGAAUCAACAGGAGUAUUUUGUUCCUUGGCAUUUACCUUAUCAUCGUGCUGAAGUCAGUGGCGCUUCUGCUCAUGCUUUGGCUACUGGUCUUGCUACUAAAGAUGACGUAAAGGGUGCUGUAGUGUAUAACAGAUAUUAUCAUGUUUUUAGUGAAGGCGAGCUUGAAAGGGACCUUGUUGACAGCUGCUGUGCUGUGUUUCUUGCCUCAUAGGGUGCAGACAGCAGUUGGGUUUCAGCUGGGUUUUUUGGAGGCCUGCAGGCUUUGCUGUCUAGUUUUUGCUUGACAAAUGGAAUAACCAAUGCUAGAGUUGUUGAUCAGUUUUUUGAUAAAUCCAACUGGUGUAUUAUUCUAGAGAAGACAUCAUGAUAAAGAAAGAAACCUCAGUUAUAUCUUAGGGAACAAAAUUUGGCUACUGCUCGUUUCUCCAACUUAUCAUCCCCAAGUGAGUAUAACAGGCAAGAUAUAGUAACAUUAUAAAAAGGGUCAACUGCAGAACUCAGACUGUUAGUGUUGAUUCUCUGAGAAAUUUUUCAUCGAAAUCAGGCUGCAUUCUUCAAGCAAUUCCAGCUUAGUGUUUUUAUUUUUCUUCCUUUUUUUGAUUUGCAAAACCCAAUUUUGUUGUAACUUGUAAUUUUAGAGCAGAAAGGACACCGCUGUUAUGAGUAUGCUGGCGUUGUUGCUGGUUACAAUGUUUUGGACAAUUUAAUUUUGUUUGGAUUAGUCUAUUUUGUCAUAUGAAUUGCAUAUCAUCAUAUUGGUCUCAAUUUCCCAGGAAGUCAAACUCUCACAUCAUCUUAUCUUAUCA